rnacentral:rRNA from 1 species
AUGAUGAUAAUCAAAUGUCCGACGGAGCUAGUUUCAGGAAAAAAUGUCCGACGGAUGAAUAGCCGACGAUCCAACGAUCAGCGAACCGUCUGCCCCAACGAAAUCUCGCGCGCCGCCGCCUUUCUGCCCCAUCCAUCAAGCUUCAGGUGUUCUUCCGCAUUAACCUGCCCGGCCUUCAUCUUUCCGAUCGCAAGAUCUCCGCCUCCGCGCGCGAUCCACAUCUUUGACGGCACCGCAGCAAAAGGGGCCGGGUUGCAGAACCAAUCCGCGUACGUACGUCCGGACGGCCCUGGCCCUAGAUGUAAAAUCUGGAACUGGAGCCAUACGGGAUCUGAUCUUGCUGCAGCCUGCAGUCAGGAGGAUACUAGGUGGGUUAGCUUAACUGGGCCGAGGGAGGGAGGAACGACGAUGAUGAAUCGCCAGUUUGCCAACAUGAUAGUGCGCGAUGGCGGCAGGGGAAUCUACUCCCUAUGCCGUCUCGACCUCGCGCGGCAUCUCUUCCACCCUUCCACAGCAGCCGCACAAGCAGCAGCACCAGCCGCGAAAGCGAAUGAGACGAAGGGUUUGUUACUACUACCAACGACCUCGAGCUGCGGCGACCGUCUGCCCAGUCCCAGCAUCAAGUUCUCGAUCACUCCGGCCAUGGCCGGCUCGCCGUACAUGCAUUUCUUCUCGCUGCUGAGAGGGCAGGCGGAAGGCUCCGUCAUGUUCGUCCCCUGCUACGACAACCCCGUCCUGUACAACAUCGACAAGGAGUCCGUCGCCGGCGUGCCCCUGCCCAGCUUCCCCAAGCAGAGCGACUCCAUCUCCCUGUCCGUGGCCGGGCCUCGGGCACGCGUCCACCGCCAGUACGACGACGACGGCCAGCAGCAGCUCUAUGUCAUAACCAGAGGAAAUGGCGACGAUGGCUUCUUCGAGGUGCUGAACUACAGGAGGACCGGCUUCCCUUGGUAUGGUCGAUCUCAUGCUGGGCCCCUGUGGUGGAGCUGGAAGCCUCUGCCCUCCCCGCAGCUCUACGGACCGGCGUGCCCGCCGGACAUCGGCAGGAAAGUGUUCUCCCCCACCGCGGCGGCGGUGGUGGACGACACGACGAUCUGCGUGUCGUCCGUGGACGCCGGCAGCGCAUGCGCAUUCGACACGGCCAGGGGCGAGUGGAGGCAGGCUGGGGGCUGGGUGCUGCCCUGCGACGGCGCGGCCGAAUACGUCUCCGAGCUCGGCCUCUGGUUCGGCGUCGAGCACGCCAAGCGCAACCCCGACCACCGCCUGCGCGCCUUUGACCUCUCCUCCUCCUCCUCGCCGCCGGUGGUGCGGCAAACCUGGAGCUACCUCGAUCGCCUGCCCGGCGAGUGGCUUACGUCGCAGAGGCACCUGCUGAACCUCGGCUCAGGCAAGUUCUGCAUCGCCACCAGCUUUCAGAGCAUCGAGAGGCACCCAAACUCAUGGGGCUGCCAUUCUGACGACGGCCUGGAUGAUGACAUAGCGCUCCAUGACCUCACCGUCUUGACGGAAGUGGAGGUGUCCCAGCUCAGUAGGCUUGGGCCAACUCUGAACAUAAGUAUUGGGCGACUCAAGGACCGGUCCCUCGUCUCGGCGAGCCGCACCGGCGAACCAAGCGUGGAAGUGCACGGCAGCCUUCCAGGGGCUAGGUCAAAACGACCGACCGGCCGGCCGACCGAGCGAACCAUCUCUCUCCCCGAGCUCUCUCCUCUGGCGGCGGUGGUAAUGGCGGCGGUGGAUCCAAACCCCGACGGCAAUUUGUUCGGCGGCCAACCUCCUGACGUAGUUGGGGGCCGCGUCGACCUUUCGGAGGUCGAUACGUGGCUAGGCAGCUCUAGCAGCUGUAGCUUUGCGGCGCAACAGCCUGAAUCUGGAGUUGGCGGCGGCGGCGGCUCGACCACCGACGAGCCAUCCCAGGAGUUGGCGGCGGCUCCAGCAUCGACGACGACAAGAAGUGCACCUUGUGGCCGGCGCAAGCUUCCUCGUGCGGGAGGCGGCAGUAUUGAUGACCCAAAAUGGGGAAUUUGGUUCCAUUUAGAAGGCAGAGAUUCUGUUGUUAGAAACAUGUACCAGUCAGACAUAUCAUUUGGGACUCUGAUAUCUCUUAUUAGGAGUGAGGGUUGCUGCUCUGAUGAUUAUAUGUACUAUGUUAGUGAUGCUCAUAAAGGGAUAGAAGGCUUAGAGAAAAUAUCUUUUGAAGAUGAUGUGCAGCAGAUGUUGCUCCACUCUUUAAAUGAAAAGAGUGUGAACAUAAGAGUUGUGAGAGCAAAUGAGCUGUGUAAUGCAGAUGAAAACAGAGAUUAUUAUUUUGUUGAUCAUUGCAUUAACACCCAACAAAGUUGCACUAAGUUGAUGGAUACAAGCAUGGACAGAAAGGAAGAGCUUAAGAAAAGUGUUCUUCAGAGAGAAGCCGACCUCAAUCAUUUUGAAGGUGACACUGAUAUAUCAGAAUUUCUGUCUGAUUCAGAUGGCAACAGUGUGGAAUUGCAACUGCAAGCAGUUUCUUCAUCUGAUGAUGAGGAUAGACCAAUGGCACAGAAACUAAAGCCAGUGAGAAAUCCUGGUCCAACAAUUAGAUCACACAAUGAGGCUGAGAAAAUGGAAAAACCAGAUUGGUUGCCUGAAGCUGAUGAAAAAUGUUUUCCUGGUGAUUAUGGCAUUAGUGAUGAAGAAGAUGAGCCUGAAGGAUCCUAUAAACUACCAAGUGGUAGGAAGAGAAGGAAUAUGAAGUUGAAGGAAAGGGUAUGGUUCAAUCCCAAACUACCAAACCCAGAAGAACAGUUUUGUAAGGGAUUGUGCUUCACCAGUGUUUAUGAGUACAGAGAUGCACCUAGGGAUUUUCACAUUAGGACAUUGAGGAACUUUCAAUACCAUAGAAAUGCCCCAGAUAGGAUUAUUGUUUGGUGCUCAGAGAGAGCACAAGGAUGUGAUUUUUAUAUCACUGCCUCUAAAAUAGCUCAUGAGAAAACUUUCUGCAUCAAGAAGUGUGAUAUUGUGCACACUUGUGGAGCAUGUGCAGAGUCCACAAAGGUUACUACAAAGUGGUUGUCCAGAUCAGUACAGGAAGCAUUGAGAGAAGACAUUAGAUCUCCUGUGGAUGCAUUAAUUAAAAAGACAAAGACCAAGUUUUCAGUGGAUGUGUCAAGGAGUGUGGCAUAUAGGGCAAGGAGGAAGGCUGUUGAUGUGGUGCAAGGUGAUCACAAGCAGCAGUAUUUGAGGUUAAGAGAUUAUCUUCAAGCUGUUCUUGAUACAAACCCUGGGAGCAGGUGUAUAGUGACAACAUUUGAAAAUCCAGAAAACCCAGCACCUACUCCUAGAUUCAAGUAUCUUUUCUACUGUUUAGCAGCUUCAAAGGAAGGUUUCCUUAAUGGUUGCAGACCAUUUAUAGGUCUUGAUGGAUGCUUCAUCAAGUUAACCACUGGACAACAAAUACUUGCAGCCACAGGAAGGGAUGGCAACAACAACAUCUACCCCAUAGCUUUUGGUGUGGUUGACAAGGAAGAUGGAGAGAGUUGGACUUGGUUUUUAACUCAGUUGAGAUGUUGCAUUGGUAGUGGCAACAAGUUUGGAACAUACACCAUCAUAUCUGACAGGCAAAAGGGCUUGCUUAAGGCAAUAAAUGAGGUAUCCCCUUCACCUCAAAGGUUUGCUAUGGAUCAUACAUGCAAAACAGAUAUAGUGGUGAACAACCUGAGUGAAGUGUUCAACAAGAUGAUACUGGAUGUUAGGGCUAAGCCUAUAAGGACAAUGUUUGAAGGGAUUAGGACCAAGCAGAUGAUCAAGAGGCAGCAGACCAGAGAGAAGUUACAGAUUAGCAGGUGGACAAUCACACCCAACUAUGCAGAGAUUUUAGAAGAGAACAAGAAAUAUGCCAAGUAUUGCCAGGCUGAUAGAGCAGGUGAAACAAUAUGGCAAGUUACCAGCAAAGAAAAACAAUAUUGUGUUGACAUGGAAAAAUAUACCUGUGAUUGCAAAAGAUGGAACAUGUCAGGAGUGCCUUGCAGUCAUGCCAUAUCUGCAAUGACAAAGCAAAAACUGCAUCCUGAGGACUAUGUUAGUGAAUUUUUCAAGAAGACAUUAUAUUUUGAGACAUACAAAGAAAUUAUAUACCCUGUCCCUGGUCCAGAUUGCUGGCCUCAAUCAAACACACCAGACAUUGAGCCUCCUGUUUUUAAAGAAAAGGCAGGGAAAAAACAAACUGCAAGGAGGAAAGGGCAGUUUGAAGUUCCAGGUCCAAGAGAUAGUAGUAGGAUGGGGACUAUAACAUGUAGUAACUGUGGGCUAGAAGGACACAAGUAUACAAGUUGCCAGAAGGCUCUGAGGCCUAAGCUUCAGAUGAGGAAAAACAAACAUCAGAUACACCAGCUGCACCAGCUCAAGGCCAUGCUACAACUGGAAGAAGAGCCAAUCCUACUCCAGGACCUGCUGCAACAGCAAAUAGAGCAUCACAUUCUGCUCCAGGACCUUCUGCAUCAGCACCAGCCCCUGUUGGUACAUCCAGAAGGGGCAGGCCUGCAGGUAGAGGGAGAAAUUCUGGUUUCAGUGCACCAAGAUCUGCCACAACUUCUGCACAAGGUUUGGCAGGGACCAAAAGGAAGAGAUGGGCCUGCUGCCCUGUUAUGCUUUAUUAUUUUGGGCUUGGCACUGGGCUCGGUUAUUGGAUCUCUCUGCCCCCCUCCCAAGCCUGCCAUUCUGUCUACAAAAGACGCAGCGAUCCUACAACCUCUUUCCCCUAACCCUAAACCUAGCCGCCGCGGAAGCACGCGGACCCUAGUUCAGCCAGAGAUGGAUCCAGCAUUAGGAGAGCUAGUGGAUGACCAUGAGGAGGUUGAUAGGGCUGCUGCGAGGGCCAAUCGCAGAGCGCACGCACUGGAGCGACGGCAGAGGCUGGCUGCCAGGAUUAUGGCAGAACGCAACGCCAACGAUGUCAAAGCGGCGUCAUCUUCGUCGUCUGCAGAACUAGUAAAAUCUCCUCACUAUUACUACUCCACUGCCACACAACACCUCCCCCCACUUAACUCCCCCACCUCACUUCUGCCGCACCCACAACUACUCUUCCCCUUCCCCAGACCCAUGGCUGGUUCUUCCUCUUCCCCUUCCCUAGACCCAUGGCUAAACCCAUUCCCAACUGGCAAGGGAUGGGUUGCCAUGCUUCUUGGUUCAGCACGCGGCGACCAAGAACUCUUCCUCGACUACAUGAAGGUCGCCAUGAGGUACACCAGCGCUAUUGGGCUGGUAGAUGCAGUAGAGGAAGUGAGGAAGAAGGCGACUAGCGAGGAGAAGCAGCGCAUGGAGCAGCGCUAUGGAAACCCAGGUAAGGUGGUCAUGCCCAUCGACAUUCUCCUAUGGGCAAUGAAGGAGGCCGACUCCGGCGAUGCUGGGCAGAGGCAGCGGUGGGCAGACCACCGCUAUGUCGCUCCAGCACAAGCUACAUCAAAUGCAAACGCAGCAGAGGUGCAGGAAGACGACGACGACCUACAGAUCGUCGCACAGCCAGCUGUGCAGGCUCGCCGCCGUCCUCCUCCCAUCAUCAUCAUCGAUGAAGACGAAGAGGAAGAGGAUGUGGAGGUGCAGCCAAAUCCCACCCAACUGAAGCAAGAGGUAGGAUAA